rnacentral:lncRNA from 10 species
GGAGAAGCUUGUUCAUCACCUGUGGCUCAGCAUGGACCACUUAGUUCAUCACUCCUGCCUUCUCUGGUUCCCCGGAGAAGGUACUGUUAGCCACAGUACCAUGUCACACUGGCAUUGCCUGAAUCAUUGCCUGAAUUCAGCAUAGCCUCUGUGCACCAGGUACUGUUCCAGGUGUCAGGGAUAUUGUGGUGAACAGGACAGACAAGGUCCAGGCCUCGUGGGGUUUACAUUCUGGUGGGAGGAAACCAUAACCAUAUGAUGUCAGGUAGUGAUGAGUGAUGCGUGAGGUAUGAAUGGGUAAAGGAAUGGAGCGCUCAGGGAGGGGGAAUAGAGGUUUGUGGAGGUGCUGUGCUAUUUUAAAUUAGGUGGUGAAAACAGCUAUAAGGUGGUCACAUCUGAGUAGAUUCUUGAAUGUGGUGAGAGAACUGGAAACCAGGUAUGGUGUCAUGUGCCUGUACUCCCAGCUACUCAGGGAGCUGAGAUGGGAGGAUUGCUUGAGCUGGGGAGUUCGAGGCUGCAGUGCACUGCGAUCGUGCCUGUGAACAACCACUGCACUCCAGAUGGGGCAACAUAGGGAGAUACCAUCUUUAAAAUGGGAGACAAAAAAGGACCAAGUGAAGUGCAUUCCAGAUUGGAGAGCAGUAAGCACAAAGGUCCUGGGGCAGAAGCUUGAAGUUUGAUGGGUUAGGGAAGCAGCAAGGAGGUCCUCAUGGCCCCAGCAGAGUGAAAAAGGCACAUUGCUCUGGGAUGUGGGUUGACGGAGGUAAACCAGAGCCAGAACAAGGCAGGACAUUUUUGUCCAUGAUAAUGAUUUGAGUUUUAUUAUGAGUGCAAUGAAAAACUAUUGGAGGGUUUUCUGCCAGGCCGUCAAUCUGAUUUACAUUUAUAAAAGACCACUCUAGGCUGGGUGCAGUGGCUCAUGCCUGUAGUAGUGCUUUGGGAGGCCAAGGCGGGAGGAUCAUUUGAGGCCAGCCUGGCCAACAUAGUGAGACCCAAUCUCUAAAAAAAAAUUUUAAAUAAAAAAAUUAACCAGGUGUAGUGGCACACACCUGUAGUUCAGCUACUCGGGAGGCUGAGGCUGGAGGAUUGCUUGAGCCCAGAAGGUCCAGACUGUAGUGAGGUAUGAUGGCACCACUGCAUUCUAGCCUGGGUGACAGCAAAACUCAGUCUCAAAAUAUCCAACCAAACAAACAAAAAAACACUCUUGUUGCCGUGUAAAGAACUAAAGAACUAUCCAAAGUAUGGGCAAAGUGGAAGCAAGGCGAAUAUUAGGCUAUUACAUUAACGAUCGAAGCAGGAAGUGGCAACCCAGACUAGAGUGAUAGCAUGGAAAAAGUGAGAAGUCAGAUUUAGGAGACCCGUAGACAUUAGAUAGACCCAACAAGACAGCCUACUGUAUUAGAUGUGGGGGGAGAGAGGAAUAAAAUGUAAGGACCCGAAGAUUUGCCUGAGCAACUACUGAAUGGUGGUGCCGUUUAUUGAGAUGGAGACACUUAACAUCUGCGAUAGUGGGAGGGGUGUGGGCAGGAAGCAGAGGUUCCGUUUUGAUCAUGUUAAGCUGAAUAUAUAAUUUAUGACCCCUAGUAGAGAUGGCUAUGCAGGCCUUUGGAUAUAUGUCUGGGGCUAGAGAGAAGAUUUCAGGUCCUCGUUGUCAAGAUGGCAUGGAGCCUUGGCACUGGCCUUGGAUGUGCUUGCCUAUGGGAUGAGUUUGUAAAGAGGAGAGGGCUGGGACAGCUACAGCUCUCUAACACUGGGAAGCUGGGGAAGAGGGAAGGGAGCUGGCCAAGAGGAAUGUGAGAGAAUGGCCACUGAGGUGAGAGACAACCGACUCAGACAUGGAGACCAAGGGAAGGGAGCAUUUCAAGAAAGGAGGAAUGGCCAGCUGUACUAAGUGCUACUGAUGGGUUGAGAAAGAUGACCGCAGAAUUAGCCAGUGAACUUGGCAACAUGAAAGUCACUUGAUGGGCAGGUGGUGACUGGGGAGAAUGAAAGCCUGGUCAGAAUGGGGUUGAAGAAAGAAUGAGUUUGGAAAAUGAAGACAGUGAGCAGCAGCAACACUUUUUUUUUUUUUUUUCUGAGACGGUGUCUUGCUCUGGCACCCAGGCUGGAGUGCAGUAGUACAAUCUUGGCUCACUGCAACCUCCGCCUCCUACGUUCCAGUGAUUCUGGUGCCUCAGCCUCCCAAGUAGCUGGGACUACAGGCAUGCGCCACCAGGCCCAACUAAUUUUUGUAUUUUUCAGUAGAGACAGGGUUUCACCAUGUUAACCAGGCUGGUCUUGAACUCCUGACCUCAAGUGAUCCACCUGCCUCGGCCUCCCAAAGUGCAGCAUUUUAAAGAAGUUUUGCUUAAAGGGCGAGUAGAGAGGGAAGUAGGUAGAAGAAAUGUGGGCUCCUCAGGAGAUUUCUUUUUAAGAUUGAAGAUACAGUCCAUUUUAUAUGGAAAAAAGCAGAAAAAGAGGAUAAGUUCAGUUGAAAGUCCUUGAGUAGGCUAACUGGCUGGGAUCUAGGCUUAAACAGAGCAGGGAGAGUUUAUCCAUUGUAAAUAGAAGAAAAGUUGAGUUUAUGAGCAUAAAUGCAGGCAGGCUGGUGGAUGGUCCUGAGAGGAUGAGGUCAUUCUCUUCUGAUGGCUUCCAUUUUCUGAUCAGCCAUGUGGCAUGUCCCAAGUUAAUGUUUGCUAGCAAUAAUUAAAAGUAGCUGAGUGCCUUCCUUUUCUCACUGCCUUUCUUCCUUCCUGAAUAACUCAGUCCAAAAGCCCUUAGGUAGAGCCAAGCAAGGUAGUCCCCCACGCAGGGGAUGAGGGGGGUGGCGGCCAAGACUGGGAUGCCUGAGCCUGAGCAGGAAGAGAAGGGUGUCCAUUCGUGGUGCGAGAACCUGAGUGAUGGGAGGAGGGUGGUUGUGUUGGCUGGGGAAAGAAGGGUGGCUCUAGAAGUGGAAGAGUAAUGACAUGCAGAGGACACUGAUCUAAUAAUAAACAUAUUGAGGAUAAUGAGAGCCAGUUUUCUGAUUGUCAGAUAAGGAAGUUACAAAUACGGAAAGGGAGAAAUUAAAAUGACCUCUGUAGCAUUGGUUUGGAAUUGGAGAUAUUGAAGUGAAAUUGUGGUGAUAGCUAGAUACUGAAACAAAUAUAUAUAUAUUUAUUUCAGUAUAUAUAAAGGAUAUAUAAAUAUAUAUAAAAAUGCAUGCACAUUUAUAUGUAUCUAUUCAUACUCAUAUAUUAUGCACAUAUGUAUGUAUGAAUGUACAUUCAUUCAGAUAUUCCUUAGAUCCGUCAUCGAGAGGAGCUGGGAGCAACAGCAUUCUAAUAGCAAAGAGCUCACCAUAUGCCCAGAUCUUUGAUCUAAACACCAUCUUUCACUAGAAAGGAACCAUAGCUUCUUGAAGAAAUGGCUAAGCCCUAGGCAGGAAAAAAUACAAGAUGGGAACAUACCGAAAGGGCAGUGCCAUCUUGAAGGGGCUAUCACUGGCCCCAACUUGGGCAGAUUUAACCCACUGAGUAACAAAGGAAUGGUCCAAACUGAUAUCAUGGGUCAAUGCUAAUAUAAUAAAUAAUUAAUAAAUAAAAGGAGAAAGGAGAAAUCUUUCCCUUAGUAUAGAAUGCAAACUAAUAAAUGUUAAAGGAGUGAUAUAUUUAUGAAAUUAUUAUUUGACAACCACCAUAGUAAUAAUUCAGCCAAGAAACAUCAAUUGCAUGUUAAAACUAGGGGGCUACUCUUCUGAGGAACAGGAUGGAUGUUUACAUGUUAAAUUCCCUUCCAACUCAUGAACUACAAAACUAAACAGAGUAAAUUCUUACAAAGAAGAAACCUGACAGACACCACCUAAAUCAAGUGAUCAACAUUAACAUGACCAGGAAUGGGCCACAUCAAAAUGUGAUAGGAUGCAGUGAGAACACAGCAGCGGUGCUUCUGAGACUGUCCCACCAAAAGGAUAGCAUGAAUCUAAUCAUGAGGAAAACAUCAGACAUGCCUGAGGGAGGCCCAGUCUACAAAAUAGCUGGUCUGUAACUUCUGAAGUGUCAAAAUCAUGAAAGUCACGGGAAAAAGUCUCAAAGAACUGGUCCAAAUUGAAGAAAACUAAAGAGACACAAUGAAAUACAAUACGUGAUCCUGGACUGGAUCCUUUUUGCUAUCAAAGACAUCACUGGGACAAUUGCCAGAACGUGAACAGUGUCUGUAGACUCGAUGAUAGUAAUAUAGCAAUGUUAUUUAUUUGCUUAUUUUGAGGAUUGUAUGGUUGUUAUAGAGGAGAUUGUUCUUGUUUGGGGUAUUUGGGGCUGAUGGGGUAUCAUUUUGGCAAUUCACUGUCAAAUGGUUCAGGAAGAAAAGUUUGUACUAUUCUUGAAACUUUUCUGUAAGUUUAAAAGCAUUUCAAGAUAAAAAAAGAAUUACAUGUUUUAAAAAGCAGCAAAGGUAAAAGAAGUUUACUUUAAAAAAUGAAUUGAAUGCUAUGACAUUCUUAAAGAGCUAGAUGCGAAGGCUUGCUCUACUAGAGUCAUUAUAAUAAGUUACCACAAUUAAAAGAGUGAAAUGAUAUGGAAUUGAUGGAUGGGACAGAAUAGAGAGUUCAGAAACUGACCCAUGCAUAUGUGGUUGGUUGAUUUAUGAUGAAGUUUGUGCUUCAGGUCAGAGGGGAGAGAAUGGUCUUUAAAAAAAAUGGUGCCAGCUCAGUUAGAUGUCCCCAUGGAAAAAGAGGAAAACUGGACCCUCUCUUACUCCAUACUUGAAAGUCAAUUUCAAUUGGAGUAUCAUUUAAAUGAGUAAACACCAAAACUUCUAGAAUAUAGUAUAGAAGAAUAGCUCCAUAACCUCAGUGUAAGGAACUGUUUCUUAAACAGCAUACGAAAAAACACUACCCAUAAGGGAAAAUGCUGAUAAAUUGUAUUCCUUUAAAAUGGAGAAUUUUUGUUCAUCAGGACAUUAUGAAGAGAAUGAAAAGGCAAGCCUUAAGACGAAGAUAUUUGUGAAACAGCCAACAAAAGGUCAUAUCCAGAAUAUAUAAAAAAGGCCUAUAAACCAGUAAGAAAAAGACAGCUGAAUAGAAGAAUGGGCAAGAGACUGAAAUAAGCACUUCACACAAAAAAACGUAAAUGACCAAUAAGCUUAUGAAAUGUACUCCAUGGAACUGCUAAUUAGGGAAAUGCAAAUUAAAUUCACAACGAGAUGCUACCAUUUGUCCUGUGACGUGGCAAAAAUGUAAAAGAUGGAAAAUAGCGUUGACAAGGAUAUGAAGCAACUAGCUUCUAAUACAUUGCUGGUAAGAUUAUAAAUUGGUACAGCCAAUUUGGAAAAUGAUUUGACAUUUUCUAUGAAAGCCGAAUCUAUACAUAACUUAUGACUCAGCAAUACCAUUUCUAGGUACAUACUUAGUGUUCAGUAGCAUUAUUCAUACUAGCUACAGAGUAAAAACAACCAAAUGUGCAUCAUAGUAAAACUGAUUAAAUAUAUUUAGGCAUCUGGAAUAUGAUGCAAUCAUACGGAUGACUGAUUUAUGGCUACACAUAAAAACACAGAUGAUUCUUACAGUGUUGAGCCAAAGAAGUCAAAUACUAAAGAAUGAAUAUUGUGUAAUUGCAUUCAUAUAAAUUUUUUAAGGCAGAAAAAGGAUAGUUUUUAGAGAUGGAUGCUUAUGCAGUAAAACUUAUGAGAAGUAAAGAAGUGUUACCAUAUAUGGACGGCAGUUACCUUUCUUGGGGUUGGAGGGUGUCCUGAUUGGAAGGGGACACUAAUGGGAUUUCUAGGGUCUUGCUACUAUUCUGUCUCUUUGCCUGAGUGGUGAAUGGGUGUAUUUCAUUUAUGAGAAUUCAUUAUCUGUACAUUUGUUUUCUGUACUUCACUGUAUUUUAUACUUCGGAAUAAAAAGGAUUCAAAAUAAAUUCAAACAGGUUCAGG